rnacentral:misc_RNA from 1 species
AAUUCUCAACCUUUUCAGCUUUCUUUGUUGAUCAGGCUUGGAUGUGGGGGGUAUGUGGGCUUCUCAGAAGUCGGCUCUCCUGAAAUGCAUUAGCGGGACCUUUGUUGCCUGGCUUUGGUGUGAUAAUUAUCUACGCCAUUGUGGCCAAGCAGCUUAAAAUGAGGUUUAAGCUUCUAACCGUCUCACUGAGACAACUUUUGACA